UACGUAGGGGCUAGCGUUGUCCGGAUUUAUUGGGCGUAAAGAGCGUGUAGGCGGCCAUACAGGUCAGCUGUGAAAACUCGAGGCUCAACCUCGAGACGUCGGUUGAAACCGUAUGGCUAGAGUCCGGGAAGAGGAGAGUGGAAUUCCCGGUGUAGCGGUGAAAUGCGCAGAUAUCGGGAAGAACACCCGUGGCGAAGGCGGCUCUCUGGGACGGUACU
rnacentral:rRNA from 1 species